AUUGAACGCUGGCGGCAGGCCUAACACAUGCAAGUCGAACGAGUGGCGGACGGGUGAGUAAUGUCUGGGAAACUGCCUGAUGGAGGGGGCUAACUACUGGAAACGGUAGCUACUACCGCAUACCAUCAGAUGUGCCCAGAUGGGAUUAGCUAUUUGGGGUGGUAACGGCUCACCAAGGCGACGAUCCCUAGCUGUUCUGAGAGGAUGACCAGCCACAUGUGAAAUGAGACACGGUCCAGAUGCCUACGUGAGUCAGCAGUGGGGAAUAUUGCACAAUGGGCGCAAGCCUGAUGCAGCCAUGCCGCGUGUAUGAAGAAGGCCUUCGGGUUGUAAAGUACUUUCAGCGGGGAGGCGUUACCCGCAGAAGAAGCACCGGCUAACUCCGUGCCAGCCGCCGCGGUAAUUC
rnacentral:rRNA from 1 species